ensembl:lncRNA
CUUGAGGUGGAAGGAGAUUUUGGUGAGCAGGAGUUUGGUGUAGACAUUCACCAGCUGCCCGUAGCGGUCAUGCAAGUGGCCCUACAGGAAACAGAGCUCAGUGAGGCCACUGCCCGAGGCCACGCCCCAGAGCCAGGUGCCAGGCGGCAUGGGGCAGACAGGGAAACGGAGGUGGAAAGAGGAGGAGGGCCACGCCCUCUGCCCGUUGCUUAUUCACUCAGCAAUAGCUUCCCGUGGCCCCGUCAAUCUUGUGUCCAGCUUUCCCCGUAUCUGGGUCCUUGUCAUUCCAGCCAGGGGACCUCUCCUGAGAAGAGGGUGCCUUGUCCAGGGCAGCAGGCCAUUUCCGCCCGGGACACUUCAUGAGUGCCAGCGGCAGAUAAGGGAGGCGCAUUCCAGGCCGAGACCUGUCCUGCCCUCCCGGCUCCAGCCUCCCACGCCGCAGCCAGGCUGUCUACAGAGGGCACUGUGGGCACUGCGUCCCUUAGCGCCAGGGACGGGACAAGGGCAAAAGGCAGGGCCCUAUUCCCGCUGGUGCCGACUCCGGUCUCAGGCCUCAGACCACCGUGCCUCCAGCGCCUGGAGAGUGAGCAGGAAACGCGACCCAAACCCCGACUGUGAAGCAGCCAGUCUGGGGGCGCCGGGCCUGCGCCCCACAUAGGCUCAGGGCCACGCUGGAGUGCCCAGGCCAGCACCGCAGGCCCUGUGCCCAUCGGCACGGGACGCCUGGCCCAGGCUGUGAAAGCAAGCCUGCCACUCCGCUGCACACCCACUGCCCGUCAGCCCGACUUCUGCCCAGAGGGAAAGGCCUGGCCCGCCCUGCACCUACCCACAGGUCCCCUAUCUCCCGGAUGUUGCUCCGGUAGCGCUGGCAGUCGUGCAGCACCUGCGGAGGGAGGUGGUGAGGCGGCAGCCGGCCUGCCAGGGAGGGUCCCGGAGGGCAGCGAGGCUGCACUCACAUUGGCAUGGCCGUCCCGCAGGACCUUGUGCAGCACGUGGCAGAACUUCCAGCUGAGGAUGGAGCUGCUGGGCAGCGGCAGGCCAAUGGCGUAGGACCAGAAGGUGAAGGCCCCCUUCUCAUGGAGGCCCUGUUCCUGGUCCUGACCCAGCUUCCGCCCCGCUCAGGAGGAUGUGGCCACAGGGACCCUCGCGCCCCACUGAGCCUAAACACAGACCGACCCGGCUCCCACCUCUCACAGAGCCACCUGUCCCGUGUCUGCCGAGCCCACGCUGCGUGACACCCCAGGUCCCAGCAGCCCCAGAAGACCAAACCUGCAGCGGGAGAUCUUCCACCAUAGGCGUAUGGCCACCCCAGGCCAGUCUCGGGGCGGCGCCCCAGAAAUGGAUAUGAUGCCCGCCUUUCAGUACUGAGGAAUGAAUUCAGGGCCUUUCCACCGAGCCACUUCCUCAGCCAUUUUUUAUUUUGAGACAGGGUCUCACUAAGUCGCUGUUAAAUUGCUCAGCCUGAGCCUGAACUUGCAGUCCUCCUGCCUCAGCCUCCCAGAGUGCUGGAGUUACAGGCCUGCAUCACCACACCCCAUUUGUGAUGCCACUUUCUUGGGACAGAAAUUGAAGCCUGGGGUAUUAGGUGAGGCAAAGCCCACGCUCAGGGCCAGGUCUGUGCACUUCCGCGCCCACAGCCUUAGCAACUGCCAAGAGCUCCCAGGCUCUGCCCAAGCUGAGUGGGGCGGCCCCACCUCAGAGCCGGGAAUGUCCUGUCCUGCCUCUGCCAGUCAACUCCGG